CGAAGCAAACACAGCACAGGGCAGAGCAGAGGGUGAUCCAAAGGCUGGCGAAUUGAUUAUGUGUGUGUCUGUGUUUUUAACUCCCCUGUGUUGGUGUCCUCGCGUGUUUGACUCUGUUUUGGUUAUACGCCACUGACAGUAAUUGCUGUGUGUGAGCAGACGUCCCUCUGUCACCUUGUGUAUGGACAGACGCACUCACGCCAGUAGGAGGGGAUUGUGGGAAGGGGGUGUAGCUCUCAGAGGGUGUGCUCUACUCCUCUCUUUUCCCUUCUUCCCGCCAUCACGGCCCUCUUCUCCUUCAGUCCUCCGGCCCAGCCCGCCGCUCACAUACAGGCUCCAGGAAGGAUACCGUUGUGGAUCUUUGAUGCUGAAGCAACAUAGAUGCUGUCCUUGGAGCUGAGGUAGUAGAUUGAAUAGUUGUGGGGUUUUGUAACCUCUUUUUUGAAUAACUAUACAAUCUACUGUCUUUCCCAAGAGACAGCUGAGUCAGCCACUCGCCGACUGUCAUCUCCAAGCAAAAAUAUGAGCUUUCAGCAGUCUUUUUCUUGUAUUCACCUUGAACAGGUAAAUGGGUUCAUCAUUCUUUGAAGGACGAACCUGUGGUGUAUUUGACUUGGGCUCUGACAGGGUGAGGUAGUAGGUUGUAUAGUUUGGUGGGUGGGAUUGCACCCUGCUCAGGUGAUAACUAUACAGUCUAUUGCCUUCCCUGAGGAGCUCGCUGGACACUCAGGACUGUUCAACACGUGCUGAUGGCUCAAGUUUGAUAUUUAUUGCCAGAUAUAAUAAAAAAGGAGGCGGAAGACACACAGGACUUAAAUGAUUAGUGUUUAAUUGACUGCAGUUGUUGAAUUGACUGGAAGUGUUAAAAUAUGUGCUUUGUAAUAUGUACAUUUUAAUAAAGUCACAUUUGUCUUAAAAAGUUGUCCA